GCCUUUCUUUGAUUUAUGAUCUUUGAAGCCUGAAUCCCCUGCCAGCUACGGACCAAAAGCAGUUUGCAUAGCUGUGUAGAGCUCCUGAGAAAGCAGCUCCCUGUGCACCGCAGGUACGUCUGCAGUGGAUUCCUUUUGUUUUGCAGCAAAACUGCUGUUGCCUUGGCUGGGGGGGUCCCCUCAUGGCAAGGAAUGACUCUACUGUUGGUGCUCAACCUUUUGGCCCUAUGGGCCAAAUGAGUAGCGCAGGGCUAGUCCCUGAGCCUGAUGGGACCCUGGGGUCCUGCAUCACUUCCAGCUGCCGGAAUCAGACCCUGGCUUGAGCCUGAGUGCCUGGAUGAGGCUGCUGGGCCCCAUGCCACCCCCACCCAGUCCCAUGUGCUAGGAUUGGGCCCCACGCCACCCUGCGUGCCUGGGGCUCCCCAUGGGCAGGAUAACGUGGCACCAGGGGCUAGGUCUGGUUGAGCACACCUGGGACUAAGACACAAAACCCCUGAGAUGGAUGGGAACAGCAUGCUGGUCCCUCAGCACCAAAUGAAGAAGCAGCUGCAGCUCCACAACAAAACCGUCAACCCAGGCUUUUGAACAGCCCCAGCUGACACCAAGGCAUCCUGCCCACCUUCUCCAGUUUGCCCAUGGUCUUGUGCUACCCUCACAGAAAGACCCAGACUGGGCAUCCUACAGCCUAGGAGUGUUCAUCUGCUUGAAUUGUGCCGGAUUACAUCGCAGUAUUCCCCAAGUCAGCAAACUGAAAUCUAUCCAGUUGGAUGAGUGGGAUGAUGCACAAGUUGAGUUUAUGGCCUCGAAUGGAAACAAUGUAGCAAAAGCAAAGCAUGAAUCUAAAAUGCCACCAUUUUAUUACAAGCCAACAUAUCUUGACUGUCAACUGCUGCGGGAACAAUGGAUCAAAGCCAAAUAUGAAAGAAAAGAAUUCAUUUACAGUGAGAAACAAGAACCUUAUUCAGCAGGUAGUGAAAGAAUUUUUUGGUAGAUGAUUUUUACUGUGUCCAAUAGCUGCUAUUUCCUUUCUAUGCUCUCAUUUACAAAAGAAGAAAAACAUCUUUACAUUGUUAAACCUUACCCUUCCUUAGCCAAGACGGAAAAGUAUGACUAAAGGCUUUUGGGAGUGAUGGGGGCUGGAGGUCUGAUCCAAAUGCAAAAUCAAUGGGAUUGCUUUCCAUUACCUUCAGCAGGCUUUGGAUCAGGCAGUGAGCAGCGACUACAGUGAAAUUUUGGAUACUUUCUGUUAGCUGGAUGUGUUAGCAGGAAUUAAAAUGUAGAUAAGGAAUUUAUCUCGUCAAGGUGAAUUUCCUUUGGACUAAUGAUGUGGGAUUAUCGAUUCCCUUGGUAUUGUUGCACUGUCUUUGCAAACGAGUAUUUUGGGGCAAUUAUGUCAAAAUUGUUUUUCAUGCUAAGCGACAGCCUUUUUUUCUCUCUGUGUGUUAAGGAUCAAAAAUCCAUCAGAU